GGCAGACAUGGCGUCCUCAUCUUUGUCAACAUCAUCAUCUUCCCUUGUUUCAAGUAAAGAUAGCAAUGAUGAUAUUCUUCAAUCAAUAAUAGUAAAAAGUAAAACUGACAAAAAAGAAAAAGGAAAAGCAAAGUUAAAACAAAAAAGCAAAGUAAAAAGAAAAGAAAAGAAAAAGAAGGACACUUCGUCCUCAUCUGAUUAAAAG
rnacentral:lncRNA from 1 species